AAAGAGCACCAAUUAUGCUAAUAAAUUGGCACGUUAGCACGUUAUUGCAAUAUCCCAUAGUACAUACAUGUUAUUAAAACUUGAACUAAUGCAUUGUGAGUCUUAUAAAUUGCUUACAUACCUCACCGAUUUCCCACUGUCUGGAAAACGCUCGGUUUAGUUCCUGUCUCCGCCUCCCAAAAUGUCUAGUGUAAUCGGAUUGGUCAGAUGACUACUCAACUGUUAUUGGUCAGCUGGGUUCAGCGUGUGUUUGAAAGGUUACGCCCCUGACUACGCGUGGGUUGACACAGAUUCUGACUGAGAGUCACAGCCUCAGAGGCAACGUAAACAAGCGCUAUAUUUCUCUAUAAACGAUGGUGUCUGUACUGCCUUACCACUUCGAGCUCGAUCCAGAGAGUUCAGAAGGCCGUUACGAUAUAAACGAUCUCCGUCAAUGAAUGCGAUUGGAUUUAACUUUUUUAGGUGUCCUUAGCUCUGCCAGAAUGCUAAACGAAGACGAAAAUGUGUUGCAAAGACAUCCAAAAGGUUUUAAGGAGAAUGCAACAGGUUCCAGGGCCUCUUACCUGCAUGAUUCAUCAUCCAGGUUUUGCACAAAUUGUCUAAAUCCCUACACACAGAACAUUUAUUGUACCGACUAUAAGCCUUUGAGGCGCAGGACUAGAAUACGCUUGGAGCUUCCUGAUCGGAAUGUUGGCUUCCGACGAUCCCUGCACUGAAGAUGGCAUGCAAUCACGUCCUCCUUUGAAGGUCUCU